GGAUUGUAGGCUGCAACUCGCCUACAUGAAGUCGGAAUUGCUAGUAAUCGCGGAUCAGCAUGCCGCGGUGAAUACGUUCCCGGGCCUUGUACACACCGCCCGUCACACCAUGGGAGUCGGUAACACCCGAAGCCUGUAGUCUAACCGCAAGGGGGACGCAGUCGAAGGUGGGAUUGAUGACUGGGGUGAAGUCGUAACAAGGUAUC
rnacentral:rRNA from 1 species